UACGUAGGGUGCAAGCGUUGUCCGGAAUUAUUGGGCGUAAAGAGCUCGUAGGCGGUCUGUCGCGUCGGCUGUGAAAUCCCGGGGCUCAACCCCGGGCCUGCGGUCGAUACGGGCAGACUAGAGUGCGGUAGGGGAGACUGGAAUUCCUGGUGUAGCGGUGAAAUGCGCAGAUAUCAGGAGGAACACCGGUGGCGAAGGCGGGUCUCUGGGCCGUAACUGACGCUGAGGAGCGAAAGCGUGGGGAGCAAACAGG
rnacentral:rRNA from 1 species